rnacentral:lncRNA from 12 species
UCUUUUUCUUUUCUUUUCUUUUUUUUUUUAAGAGUGGGAAGCUUGAAGGUGGGAGGGGAAAGGAGCAAAAAAAGGAAACAUUUGGAGCUUUGGAGCUCUGUUUUCCCUCUCCUUCUCCCCUCCCUCCCAAGAUGGCUUGAAAAAAUUAAAAGGGGACAGUGAUGAGGGGGACACACACACCGAAAAGCUCAGCAGGAGGGAAAAAGUUUGGCGGGGUUGGGGUUUUUUGUGUGUGCGUUUGGUCUUUUUGUUUGUUUGGGGUUUUUUGUUUUAUUUUUUUAAAAGCCUUAUAAUCCCAGAAUGACCGAAACGACGACAAACACCCGGGAAGAGCAGGCACAAGGAGAGGAACGAGCGAGAGAAAAGAGUUUUGCUGGACAAGAGUGGGUGAUUUGGAGCAAUGAAAAAGAAGAAUUACAGAAACUGGAGCAGCAGAAAGUAGAAGGAAGGAGAAGAAGAAGAAUAAAGGAAGGAGAGAAUCAGCUGUUUGCUUCCCUGUAACUCCUUACUUCAUAAACCCUGUAUUCAUUACUCAGUAGAAAUGUACAUUAUUCCUAUCUCUGCAAUCGUUGUAGAGAUACCCUUUAUUUUUGUAAGUCUUUUGUGGGACAGAGGAGCAACAUGAAACCAUGUUUAAUGGACGUAAGACUGAGUUACUGAGAUGAAGUUAUUCAUCCAAGGUAAUAUAGCAAGGUGGUUACAGAUCAGAGAACUCAACCAAAUUCUCUUAAAUUCCAAAUCUAACCACUAAUUCAUCCUUUCCCCUCUCCUCUCUUGCAUCUCAGAAAAGAAAUAGUAACUUUUGUUUUACUUAUUUGCACAGGCAAUUAUUAAAAUUAAGCACUUGCACUAAAGUUUGUUAGCUUAGUUUGCAAUUAAGGGACACACACCCACAAAUGCUAUAGGUAAGAUUUAUAACAUAAGACAAUGUGAAAAGACAAAGAAAAAAGUAACGAUUUCUGUUUCUAGGGAUGGCCUUUAUGAAGCUGAGGGGAUUUUUCUAGUUAUCUUAAACAGAAAAAGAAGUUACUAUUUUGAUGGUCAAGACACUUCUAUAUGAAACAGCAAGAUGAAGUUUCAAGGAGGCAUUUGAAAUUGGAGCUCCUAAUAAAUAUUAUUUACAGAAAAGGAGCAUAAUAACAUGUUGUCAUCAGGAAACAGAAUAAUGAAGUACUGUUCUCAAGAAACAUCAAGUUCAGACAAAUCUACAGCAACUGAAAAACUUAACUAGUAACAUUUCUCACUUUUCAAUAUAUCCAAAGAGAGAAUAUUUAAAUAAAAACAACAAAAAAGCUGAUACAUUUAAAAAAUCACAAACACAUUCCAGAAAUUAAGAUAGUUGUCAAAAUAUACACCCACCUCACUUACUUUUUGCUCUUACUCACUGUUAGUCACUUGUCUGUAGGCUGGUACACUUCUAUUGAAAUGAACUGGUAAUGGGCUGUAAGCACAGAUGGUGUAAAUCAUCAUUGCUCAACUCACACUUCAGUUGCUAUGCUAAUUUAUACUAUCUGGAGAAUGGCUGUGUGUGUUCAUGUUUUGUUUGUGGCCAAUGAUGAAUCAAAAGUAAAAUGUAUUUGCGUUUAUUAUGAGGGCAGCAUAAAAUGUAUGAGGUCUUUGACAAUUCAUAUCCUUCUUUUUAACUGCUUGAGUACUUCAAAUUGUGUGGGAUAUAGUAAUUACCAGCCUUAAAUAAAUUUUAGACUUCCCGUUUU